rnacentral:Y_RNA from 1 species
GACUGAUCGGAGUGCAAUGAUGUUUACAAUUAAUUGAUCACAGCCAGUUACAGAUGUCUUUGUUCUUUCUUCACUCCCACUACUUUACUUGAAUAGAAGU